rnacentral:rRNA from 1 species
GUCUAUGGCCAUGCCACCCUGAAUAUAUCUGAUCUCGGAAGCUAAGCAGGGUCAGGCCAGUUAGUACUUAGAUGGGAGACCACCUAGGAAGACUGGGUGCUGUAGGCG